UUAUCGUUUACUUUGCCUUAAGACAACAUCACGUUUUUCAGCGAUUUUCACUAUAGAGACAUACAGUUCGCAUGUAAAGAUAUUACAGUGGAUGUGAUACAUGCAUGAUUUGGGCAUCUCAGAUAAAUUUCUCGGAAGUUUGACUUUCCAGACAAACGUGGUAAUCUCAUUGAACACAACCUAUUCUUUCGAAUCGUGAGUUUUACAUAAUGUUGCGCUUUUUCGCACAAGUAUCGGUAUUCAAUAAUUUUAAAACUGUAAAAUAUUGCUUCAAAAUUGGUGACUCUGCGUUUGGGAUGCUCACUCCUUUAAAGCACUCCUCCAUGGCAUCUCUGAUGUUUUAGAUGAACGUGUUUGCUCUGUUCCUAUUUUGUAAUGUUUUUAAGACUUUAAUAUUGAAUGCUGUUCCUUAUCUUCAUAUCCUUCAUCACCGAAAAUAUAUUUCUGUCGCUUUAAAUUCUUCUUGCUGGGAAAAUGUAGGAAAAUGAACACUAAUGAAACAUAAUAUUUGAUUUGAGACAAUGUCAGCAAAAUUGUUCAAUACAAUAUGAAUUUGUAAAGCAUGUUAUUGAAUCUACUAAGAAAAAAACGUUUUAAAUUCUACUUAUUACAUAACUGUUUCACCUAAAUAAUGACAGACCUAGCUCUAUGCAUUUGAAUUAUUUCAUUUUUUAGUCAGAGGUGUUUCAAAACAUAUGGAAUGAGAGGGAAAUUUUAAACAGAAUGGUAACUUUUCAAUAAAGAAGUGUAAAUUACAACCCGUAAACAUUGAUAAAAGCUAUUCAAUAUCAUUUUUUAUGCAAUAAACCUUUAAAACGUAAUUAGAUUUGUUCUCAAAAUUUCUUUUUACUUGUUUUUGUAUAUGAUAAACUUUUUUUUUCUUAAACCAGUUUGUGUAUCCUAUAUUACUACCAAAUUACAAUUCUGCUAUCAAUACAUAUGACUAUUAAUUUAAUCACUCCAAAAAGUUUCUGUCUCAUAACACUCUUCUUCCUGGAAUAAUUAUGAAAUUAAUAAUUUUAAAAUCAAGACAUAAUGUUGAAGAAAGUGUGUUGAUUGCUACGUCAAAUACCCUAUACAUGUACACAACUCCCUUUUGUUGUUAUGAUGGUUAUAAUUGAUUGCUUUUUUUUGUUUUUUUUAUAUUAGUUGGAAGUCAGGGAAAAAGAGGUAGGUUUCAGUUAUAUAUUUUAUUCUGAACAGGUUUAACGUGACGUCGCAAGAAGUAAUUUUGUUAAUUAUGAUUGACUUGACUUUUAAUUAAAUCACUUUAAAAAGUUUCUGUCUCGUGACAAUCUUCUUCCUGGAAUAAUUAUGAAAUUAAUAAUUUUAAUACCAAGAUAUAAUGUUGAAGAAAGUGUAUUCAUUGCUACGUCAAAUAUGUUAUACAUGUACACAACUCCCUUUUGUUGUUGUUAUGAUGGUUAAAAUUGAUUUUUUUUUUUUUUAUAUAUAUAUAUUAGUGGGAAUUCACGGUAAAAGAGGUAGGUUUCCUUUAAAUAUAAUUCAGAACAGGUUAAACGAACAUGUAAUGUCGCAAGAAGUAAUUUUAUCAAUUAUCAUUGACUUAACUGUUAAUUUAAUCACUCCAAAAAGUUCCUGUCUUAUGACAUUCUUCUUCCUGGAAUAUUUAUGAAAUUAGUAAUUUUAAUAUCAAGACAUAAUGUUGAAGAAAGUGUAUUCAGUGCAACGUCAAAUAUGUUAUAUAUGUACACAAUUCAGUUUAAUUGUUGUUAUGAUGGUUAAAAUUUAUCGUUUUUUUAUAUUAGUUUUGGGAAGUCGUGGUGAAAAAGGUGGGUUUCCGUUAAAUAUAAUUCUGAACAGGUUUAAUGUGAUGUCACAAGAAGUAAUUUUGUUAAAUAUGAUUGAUUUAAUUCUUAAUUUAAUAACUCCAAAAAGUUCCUGUCUUAUGACAUUCUUCUUCCUGGAAUAAUUAUGAAAUUAGUAAUUCUAAUAUCAAGACAUACUGUUGAAGAAAGUGUAUUCAUUGCUACGUCAAAUAUUUUAUACAUGUACACAACUCCCUUUAAUUGUUGUUAUGAUGGUUAAAUUCUUUUUUUAUAUAUUAGUGUCGAGAAGUCAUGGACAAAGAGGUAAGUUUCCCUUAAAUAUCAUUAAGAACAGGUUUAACGUGAUGUCGCAAGAAAUAAUUUUGUUAAUCAUCAUUGACUUAACUGUUAAUUUAAUCACUCCAAAAAGUUCCUGUCUCAUGACAUGCUUCUUCCUGGAACAAUUAUGAAAUUAGUAACUCUAAUAUCAAGACAUACUGUUGAAGAAAGUGUAUUAAUUGCUACGUCA